CACGGUAAACGAUGGAUGCCCGCUGUUUGCGAUAUACUGUGAGCGGCCAAGAGAAAUCGUUAAGCAUCCCACCUGGGGAGUACGCCGGCAACGGUGAAACUCAAAGGAAUUGACGGGGGCCCGCACAAGCGGAGGAACAUGUGGUUUAAUUCGAUGAUACGCGAGGAACCUUACCCGGGCUUGAACUGCCAGUGAACGAUACAGAGAUGUUGAGGCCCUUCGGGGCGCUGGUGGAGGUGCUGCAUGGUUGUCGUCAGCUCGUGCCGUGAGGUGUCGGCUUAAGUGCCAUAACGAGCGCAACCCUUUUCAUUAGUUGCCAUCAGGUAAUGCUGGGCACUCUGGUGAUACUGCCACCGUAAGGUGUGAGGAAGGUGGGGAUGACGUCAAAUCAGCACGGCCCUUACGUCCGGGGCUACACACGUGUUACAAUGGGUGGUACAGAGAGUCGGAUCAACGUAAGUUGGUUCUAAUCCUAAAAGCCAUCCUCAGUUCGGAUUGGGGUCUGCAACCCGACC
rnacentral:rRNA from 1 species